rnacentral:rRNA from 1 species
GACGUAGGGCGCGAGCGUUGUCCGGAUUUAUUGGGCGUAAAGCGCACGUAGGCGGCUUUUUAAGUCGGGGGUGAAAUCCUGGAGCUCAACUCCAGAACUGCCUUCGAUACUGGAAAGCUCGAGUCCGGGAGAGGUGAGUGGAACUGCGAGUGUAGAGGUGAAAUUCGUAGAUAUUCGCAAGAACACCAGUGGCGAAGGCGGCUCACUGGCCCGGUACUGACGCCGAGGUGCGAAAGCGUGGGGAGCAAACAGG